rnacentral:lncRNA from 1 species
UCAGUAAUCUAAUUACUAAUUAAUCUUCUAUUAAUUUACUAAUACUUGAUGAAUUAAUUUAUUACAACUUUUGCAUAAGGUUAACCAUCAAUCAAAUUGAUGAUUAAGUCCUUGAACGAUUCUCAAUCGUUGAUCAGCCACAUGAUCAGUAAGAAACUUCUUUUAAGUGUGACCCCAUAGGUUUGAACCUAAAUCAAUAGCACAGAAAUAUCUUUUUAAAUCAAUCGAUGUAACCAUCUAGCAAUGAUGACCCCACAUCCGGAUA